UCAACGCUGGCGGCGUGCCUAACACAUGCAAGUCGAGCGCGAAAGUGGACUUCGGUCCACGAGUAGAGCGGCGAACGGGUGAGUAACGCGUGGGUGAUCUACCUUCGAGUGGGGAAUAACACCGGGAAACUGGUGCUAAUACCGCAUGACAUCUUCGAUUCGUUUCGGAGAUCAAAGCUGGGGACCGUAAGGCCUGGCGCUUGAAGAGGAGCCCGCGUCCGAUUAGCUAGUUGGCGGGGUAAUGGCCCACCAAGGCUUCUAUCGGUAGCCGGCCUGAGAGGGCGGACGGCCACACUGGGACUGAGACACGGCCCAGACUCCUACGGGAGGCAGCAGUGGGGAAUUUUUGUCAAUGGGGGAAACCCUGAACAAGCAACGCCGCGUGGAGGAUGAAGGCCCUCGGGUCGUAAACUCCUGUCGAUCGGGAAGAAUGCACUCGGCCCAAUACGCCGUUGUGUUGACUGUACCGGUGGAGGAAGCCACGGCUAACUCU
rnacentral:rRNA from 1 species